rnacentral:ncRNA from 2 species
CAUAGUCUUUGAGGCAAGGUGAGAAAGCACUGCUUUCAAGUCCUGACCGGCGGUGACAGUCCGCGAGCCCUGAGGGGCUGAACCGGUGUGAACCCGGUACCGACAGUAACAGUCUGGAUGAAAAAGACAUCC